rnacentral:rRNA from 1 species
UUCCAGACUCCUACGGGAGGCAGCAGUGGGGAAUAUUGCACAAUGGGGGAAACCCUGACGCAGCGACGCCGCGUGAAGGAAGAAGUAUUUCGGUAUGUAAACUUCUAUCAGCAGGGAAGAAAAUGACGGUACCUGACUAAGAAGCCCCGGCUAACUACGUGCCAGCAGCCGCGGUAAUACGUAGGGGGCAAGCGUUAUCCGGAUUUACUGGGUGUAAAGGGAGCGUAGACGGCAUGGCAAGUCUGGUGUGAAAGGCAGGGGCUCAACCCCUGGACUGCAUUGGAAACUGUCAGGCUGGAGUGCAGGAGAGGUAAGUGGAAUUCCUAGUGUAGCGGUGAAAUGCGUAGAUAUUAGGAGGAACACCAGUGGCGAAGGCGACGUACUGGACUGUAACUGACGUUGAGGCUCGAAAGCGUGGGGAGCAAACAGGAUUAGAUACCCCGGUAACG